AUACAUGCAAGUCGAACGAGUUCUCGUUGAUGAUCGGUGCUUGCACCGAGAUUCAACAUGGAACGAGUGGCGGACGGGUGAGUAACACGUGGGUAACCUGCCCUUAAGUGGGGGAUAACAUUUGGAAACAGAUGCUAAUACCGCAUAGAUCCAAGAACCGCAUGGUUCUUGGCUGAAAGAUGGCGUAAGCUAUCGCUUUUGGAUGGACCCGCGGCGUAUUAGCUAGUUGGUGAGGUAAYGGCUCACCAAGGCGAUGAUACGUAGCCGAACUGAGAGGUUGAUCGGCCACAUUGGGACUGAGACACGGCCCAAACUCCUACGGGAGGCAGCAGUAGGGAAUCUUCCACAAUGGACGCAAGUCUGAUGGAGCAACGCCGCGUGAGUGAAGAAGGCUUUCGGGUCGUAAAACUCUGUUGUUGGAGAAGAAUGGUCGGCAGAGUAACUGUUGUCGGCGUGACGGUAUCCAACCAGAAAGCCACGGCUAACUACGUGCCAGCAGCCGCGGUAAUACGUAGGUGGCAAGCGUUAUCCGGAUUUAUUGGGCGUAAAGCGAGCGCAGGCGGUUUUUUAAGUCUGAUGUGAAAGCCCUCGGCUUAACCGAGGAAGCGCAUCGGAAACUGGGAAACUUGAGUGCAGAAGAGGACAGUGGAACUCCAUGUGUAGCGGUGAAAUGCGUAGAUAUAUGGAAGAACACCAGUGGCGAAGGCGGCUGUCUGGUCUGUAACUGACGCUGAGGCUCGAAAGC
rnacentral:rRNA from 1 species